rnacentral:rRNA from 1 species
GGCUCCCGCUAUUGGAUGAGCCUAUGUCGGAUUAGCUAGUUGGUGAGGUAAUGGCUCACCAAGGCAACGAUCCGUAGCUGGUCUGAGAGGAUGAUCAGCCACAUCGGGACUGAGACACGGCCCGAACUCCUACGGGAGGCAGCAGUGGGGAAUAUUGGACAAUGGGGGCAACCCUGAUCCAGCCAUGCCGCGUGUGUGAAGAAGGCCCUCGGGUUGUAAAGCACUUUCAGCGAGGAAGAACGCCUCUCGGUUAAUACCCGGUAGGAAAGACAUCACUCGCAGAAGAAGCACCGGCUAACUCCGUGCCAGCAGCCGCGGUAAUACGGAGGGUGCGAGCGUUAAUCGGAAUUACUGGGCGUAAAGCGCGCGUAGGUGGCUUGAUAAGCCGGUUGUGAAAGCCCCGGGCUCAACCUGGGAACGGCAUCCGGAACUGUCAGGCUAGAGUGCAGGAGAGGAAGGUAGAAUUCCCGGUGUAGCGGUGAAAUGCGUAGAGAUCGGGAGGAAUACCAGUGGCGAAGGCGGCCUUCUGGACUGACACUGACACUGAGGUGCGAAAGCGUGGGUAGCAAACAGGAUUAGAUACCCUGGUAGUCCACGCCGUAAACGAUGUCGACCAGCCGUUGGGUGCCUAGAGCACUUUGUGGCGAAGUUAACGCGAUAAGUCGACCGCCUGGGGAGUACGGCCGCAAGGUUAAAACUCAAAUGAAUUGACGGGGGCCCGCACAAGCGGUGGAGCAUGUGGUUUAAUUCGAUGCAACGCGAAGAACCUUACCUACCCUUGACAUCUACAGAAGCCGGAAGAGAUUCUGGUGUGCCUUCGGGAACUGUAAGACAGGUGCUGCAUGGCUGUCGUCAGCUCGUGUUGUGAAAUGUUGGGUUAAGUCCCGUAACGAGCGCAACCCUUGUCCUUAUUUGCCAGCGAGUAAUGUCGGGAACUCUAAGGAGACUGCCGGUGACAAACCGGAGGAAGGUGGGGACGACGUCAAGUCAUCAUGGCCCUUACGGGUAGGGCUACACACGUGCUACAAUGGCCGGUACAAAGGGCUGCGAGCUCGCGAGAGUCAGCGAAUCCCUUAAAGCCGGUCUCAGUCCGGAUCGGAGUCUGCAACUCGACUCCGUGAAGUCGGAAUCGCUAGUAAUCGUGAAUCAGAAUGUCACGGUGAAUACGUUCCCGGGCCUUGUACACACCGCCCGUCACACCAUGGGAGUGGACUGCACCAGAAGUGGUUAGCCUAACGCAAGAGGGCGAUCACCACGGUGUGGUU